CUGAAAGAAUGAAAUAUAGCCAGGUCAGUGUGUUGGCUUCAGAAGCUAUGCAUGCAGCAUGCAAACACCCAGCUUUGUGGGAUCAGUUACAGGAGAGUUUGAAGACCGUGAUAGCUAAGAGCCAUGAGUAUGAUCAGCUAAAGGAUAAUUUAAGUAAGAAAACGGCUGAUCUUAGUACUUGUGCAAUUGAAUAUGUAGACGAUGGUGAAGGCAACAUAGUUGAAGUUCAUGAUCCUAUUAAAGUAUCAACGAAAGGUGCAACUAAAGUAGAUGAGAACCGCCCUAUGUCGAAAAAUGGCAGGCCACUUUCGUACGACGAGAUCAGAAUCAGGUGCGGCGCAUGCAAAUUGCUAGGGCACACUAAACGCAGCAAGAAAUGCAAACUAAAUAAGAAAAGCGUGGUGGGCGAAGAAGAGUAGAACAGUUGCUAAAGUUAUGUUAGGAUGAAUCCAGUGAUCUAAUAGUGAGGUGUUUACAGUGUGUUACUGCAUACAUGAUACAUGAUAUAUACUAUUGCAAGAGGCCAGUACCUUGAGAUAGUGCUUGUAGCAUAUAUGGACUAAACAGGAGGCGGUCACUAGGGACUUUAAUCAUGGAAAAUGGAUAGCAUUUUAGCCAUUGUAAUGAUGGCAUCUUUUGUGUUGUCCACUGUAGUUAUAUUAUAUUAGAAAACCAGACGAUACCUGGCAUGUUGUUGCAGGAAUGUUUUGCAAUAUAUUCAUAGAGAAAUGGUUACGUGUAACAUGUAUAUGUUGUUGCGGGAAUAUUUUGUUUGCAUGUUGUGGUGGACCUUUCUCCAUACAUG